rnacentral:rRNA from 1 species
GGCCAGCAUCGGGGCGGGGGGAAGCAAAAAGGCGCGGAAAUGUAACUGCUNUUUGGAGUAUUAUAGUCCGUCGCUCAUACUUCCAUCCCAUCGGGAGGCUGCGGUAUUCUAGUAGGAUGCUGGCGUAAU